rnacentral:rRNA from 1 species
GUUUGAUCAUGGCUCAGAUUGAACGCUGGCGGAAUGCUUUACACAUGCAAGUCGAACGGUAAAGGGGGCAACCCCUUGAGAGUGGCGAACGGGUGAGUAAUAUAUCGGAACGUGCCCAGUCGUGGGGGAUAACGUAGCGAAAGUUACGCUAAUACCGCAUACGAUCUACGGAUGAAAGCGGGGGACUCGCAAGAGCCUCGCGCGAUUGGAGCGGCCGAUAUCAGAUUAGGUAGUUGGUGGGGUAAAGGCUCACCAAGCCAACGAUCUGUAGCUGGUCUGAGAGGACGACCAGCCACACUGGAACUGAGACACGGUCCAGACUCCUACGGGAGGCAGCAGUGGGGAAUUUUGGACAAUGGACGCAAGUCUGAUCCAGCCAUUCCGCGUGCAGGAUGAAGGCCCUCGGGUUGUAAACUGCUUUUGUACGGAACGAAAAGGUUUCUAUUAAUACUAGGAGCUCAUGACGGUACCGUAAGAAUAAGCACCGGCUAACUACGUGCCAGCAGCCGCGGUAAUACGUAGGGUGCAAGCGUUAAUCGGAAUUACUGGGCGUAAAGCGUGCGCAGGCGGUUAUAUAAGACAGAUGUGAAAUCCCCGGGCUCAACCUGGGAACUGCAUUUGUGACUGUAUAGCUAGAGUACGGUAGAGGGGGAUGGAAUUCCGCGUGUAGCAGUGAAAUGCGUAGAUAUGCGGAGGAACACCGAUGGCGAAGGCAAUCCCCUGGACCUGUACUGACGCUCAUGCACGAAAGCGUGGGGAGCAAACAGGAUUAGAUACCCUGGUAGUCCACGCCCUAAACGAUGUCAACUGGUUGUUGGGUCUUCACUGACUCAGUAACGAAGCUAACGCGUGAAGUUGACCGCCUGGGGAGUACGGGCCGCAAGGUUGAAACUCAAAGGAAUUGACGGGGACCCGC